AACGACUCUCGGCAACGGAUAUCUCGGCUCUCGCAUCGAUGAAGAACGUAGCGAAAUGCGAUACUUGGUGUGAAUUGCAGAAUCCCGUGAACCAUCGAGUCUUUGAACGCAAGUUGCGCCCGAAGCCUUUCGGCCGAGGGCACGUCUGCCUGGGCGUCACGC
rnacentral:rRNA from 1 species